rnacentral:rRNA from 1 species
AUUGAACGCUGGCGGAAUGCUUUACACAUGCAAGUCGAACGGUAGAGGGGGCAACCCCUCGAGAGUGGCGAACGGGUGAGUAAUAUAUCGGAACGUGCCCAGUCGUGGGGGAUAACGUAGCGAAAGUUACGCUAAUACCGCAUACGAUCUAAGGAUGAAAGCGGGGGAUCGCAAGACCUCGCGCGAUUGGAGCGGCCGAUAUCAGAUUAGGUAGUUGGUGGGGUAAAGGCUCACCAAGCCAACGAUCUGUAGCUGGUCUGAGAGGACGACCAGCCACACUGGAACUGAGACACGGUUCAGACUCCUACGGGAGGCAGCAGUGGGGAAUUUUGGACAAUGGACGCAAGUCUGAUCCAGCCAUUCCGCGUGCAGGAUGAAGGCCCUCGGGUUGUAAACUGCUUUUGUACGGAACGAAAAGGUCUCUCUUAAUACGGGGGACUCAUGACGGUACCGUAAGAAUAAGCACCGGCUAACUACGUGCCAGCAGCAGCCGCAG